UCCUGGGGGCUCAGAUGGUAAAGAAUCUGCUUGCAAUGCAGGAGACCCAGGUUCCAUCCCUGGGUCAGGAA
rnacentral:tRNA from 1 species